UACGGGGGGAGCAAGCGUUGUUCGGAUUUACUGGGCGUAAAGGGCGCGUAGGCGGCGUGACAAGUCACUUGUGAAAUCUCCGGGCUUAACUCGGAACGGUCAAGUGAUACUGCUUUGCUAGAGUGCAGAAGGGGCAACCGGAAUUCUUGGUGUAGCGGUGAAAUGCGUAGAUAUCAAGAGGAACACCGGAGGUGAAGACGGGUUGCUGGGCUGACACGUGACGCUGAGGCGCGAAAGCUAGGGUAGCAAACGGG
rnacentral:rRNA from 1 species